GCGCAGUGGCUCACGCCUGUAAAACCCAGCACUUUGGGAGGCUGAGGCGGGUGGAUCCAAGGUCAAGAGAUCAGAUCAUCCUGGCUAACACGGUGAAACCCCGUCUCUACUAAAAAUACAAAAAAUUAGUCGGGCAUGGUGGUGGGAGCCUGUAGUCCCAGCUAGUACAGGCAGGAGAAUGGUGUGAACCUGGGAGGCGGAGGUUGCAGUGAGCCGAGAUCGUGACACUGCACUCCAGUCUGGGCGACAGAGCGAGACUCUUAAAAAAAAAAAAAAAAAAAAAGAAUAUCUAAAUAUUUGUCUUUCCACCUUCUACUGAGUCUGCAAGCUCCAAGAGAAUCAGAGGCAAC
rnacentral:lncRNA from 1 species